rnacentral:rRNA from 1 species
GGUUAGGCCACCGGCUUCAGGUGUUACCGACUUUCAUGACUUGACGGGCGGUGUGUACAAGACCCGGGAACGUAUUCACCGCAGCGUUGCUGAUCUGCGAUUACUAGCGACUCCGACUUCAUGAGGUCGAGUUGCAGACCUCAAUCCGAACUGGGACCGGCUUUUUGGGAUUCGCUCCACCUCGCGGUAUUGCAGCCCUUUGUACCGGCCAUUGUAGCAUGCGUGAAGCCCAAGACAUAAGGGGCAUGAUGAUUUGACGUCAUCCCCACCUUCCUCCGAGUUGACCCCGGCAGUAUCCCAUGAGUUCCCACCAUUACGUGCUGGCAACAUAGAACGAGGGUUGCGCUCGUUGCGGGACUUAACCCAACAUCUCACGACACGAGCUGACGACAACCAUGCACCACCUGUUUACGAGUGUCCAAAGAGUUGACCAUUUCUGGCCCGUUCUCGUAUAUGUCAAGCCUUGGUAAGGUUCUUCGCGUUGCAUCGAAUUAAUCCGCAUGCUCCGCCGCUUGUGCGGGUCCCCGUCAAUUCCUUUGAGUUUUAGCCUUGCGGCCGUACUCCCCAGGCGGGGAACUUAAUGCGUUAGCUGCGUCACGGAAUCCGUGGAAUGGACCCCACAACUAGUUCCCAACGUUUACGGGGUGGACUACCAGGGUAUCUAAGCCUGUUUGCUCCCCACCCUUUCGCUCCUCAGCGUCAGUUACGGCCCAGAGAUCUGCCUUCGCCAUCGGUGUUCCUCCUGAUAUCUGCGCAUUCCACCGCUACACCAGGAAUUCCAAUCUCCCCUACCGCACUCUAGUCUGCCCGUACCCACUGCAGGCCGGAGGUUGAGCCUCCGGAUUUCACAGCAGACGCGACAAACCGCCUACGAGCUCUUUACGCCCAAUAAUUCCGGAUAACGCUUGCGCCCUACGUAUUACCGCGGCUGCUGGCACGUAGUUAGCCGGCGCUUUUUCUGCAGGUACCGUCACUUUCGCUUCUUCCCUGCUAAAAGAGGUUUACAACCCGAAGGCCGUCAUCCCUCACGCGGCGUUGCUGCAUCAGGCUUGCGCCCAUUGUGCAAUAUUCCCCACUGCUGCCU